CCUACGGGUGGCUGCAGUGGGGAAUAUUGGACAAUGGGCGAAAGCCUGAUCCAGCCAUGCCGCGUGUGUGAAGAAGGCCUUCGGGUUGUAAAGCACUUUCAGUGGGGAAGAAAGCCUUGGGGCUAAUACCCUCGAGGAAGGACAUCACCCACAGAAGAAGCACCGGCUAACUCCGUGCCAGCAGCCGCGGUAAUACGGAGGGUGCGAGCGUUAAUCGGAAUUACUGGGCGUAAAGCGCGCGUAGGCGGUCUGAUAAGCCGGUUGUGAAAGCCCCGGGCUCAACCUGGGAACGGCAUCCGGAACUGUCAGGCUAGAGUGCAGGAGAGGAAGGUAGAAUUCCCGGUGUAGCGGUGAAAUGCGUAGAGAUCGGGAGGAAUACCAGUGGCGAAGGCGGCAUUCUGGACUGACACUGACGCUGAGGUGCGAAAGCGUGGGUAGCAAACAGGAUUAGAUACCCUUGUAGUC
rnacentral:rRNA from 1 species